CGCAAAUGUUGCUGUUAAUAUUACUCAUAUUUCUUAGUGGGUUUUCCUCACCAAUAAGUGCCAAAAGUCCGCCCGAGUGUAGCUUGCCGCACAGCAUAGGAGAAACGAGGGCAGAAGCUUUCUUAAUGUACACCUACAACCAAAAAAUAUAUGAAUGCAUCCCUUUUGUUUACUCAGGAUCUGGAGGCAAUAAGAAUCGCUUCUGGUCGAAAAGGGAUUGCGUGGAGACUUGUCUGGCCUCAAAUGAAGAAUAAAUAGCAAAUAAAAUAUUCCAAAUAUUGAACUUCUUUGACAGUCUUAAACAUUAAAGUUAAAUCAAAUUAGAAA